UGGGGAACAUUGGACAAUGGGCGCAAGCCUGAUCCAGCCAUGCCGCGUGAGUGAUGAAGGCCCUAGGGUUGUAAAGCUCUUUCACCGGUGAAGAUAAUGACGGUAACCGGAGAAGAAGCCCCGGCUAACUUCGUGCCAGCAGCCGCGGUAAUACGAAGGGGGCUAGCGUUGUUCGGAUUUACUGGGCGUAAAGCGCACGUAGGCGGACUAUUAAGUCAGGGGUGAAAUCCCGGGGCUCAACCCCGGAACUGCCUUUGAUACUGGUAGUCUUGAGUUCGAGAGAGGUGAGUGGAAUUCCGAGUGUAGAGGUGAAAUUCGUAGAUAUUCGGAGGAACACCAGUGGCGAAGGCGGCUCACUGGCUCGAUACUGACGCUGAGGUGCGAAAGCGUGGGGAGCAAACAGG
rnacentral:rRNA from 1 species